UGAACCACCACGGCCAUCAGACGACCCUUGUGCAACCUGUGGGAUAUUUUGUGCCAGUAAACCUGCUGCCCCAGUGUCACAACCUCUUUCGCUGACGUCACCGCCACAGCCUGCACCUCCUGCACUUGAACUGCACAGCCAGCUUCCACCACUGGACUCCUGGACCUCACCAGCCACUCGUCUGGGAUCUCCACCACAGCACUAGAAGCAGACUCUUGCUUUUCUGCACAAUUAAAUAUCCAAAUCCGGAUUUCCAGUCUGCGUUUGAGUCCCCUGCUUCAACCACGUCACACCCAGUUGAUAGGGAGCCAGAGCUUCGUGCCAACUGGAUGUCUGUGCUGCUGAGAAGAAGAUGGGCGGCUGGAGACAUGCUGAGGUCAGAGUCAGUGGACGUCCACCUUGUAUGCUUAGUUGUAUGUUGUAUGUUUAGCUCUGGGAGAAAAGCAUGUCAUCUACCUCCCAAAACACUGUGUAUUAGGGCCUCGAGCUGAACUCUGUGUCUGGCAGCUGCAUCAUCCGUGGUUCCACUAGGUCUGCUGAAGAUGAGACCGAUGCAACGCUGGUUUAUAAAUCAGUGCGUCAAUCCCAAAAGGGAGCUCUCCAGGGUUCUGACAAUUUCAGCACCAUGCCUCCAGACUCUGUGUUUUUGGCUCAUCUCAGAGUAGGUGUACGGACCGGCCCGGUUACACUCCGGACAGUAAUAAAGACAGACGCCUCCCUGUACGCUUGGGGGGCAGUCUGCGAGGGCCGGUCAGUCCGAGGCAGAUGGAGAGGGUCCGAAACUCGUCACAUCAAUGUUCUACAGCUGGAAGCCGUGUGGCUUGCGCUGAAACAUCAUGCUCUGAUUCGAUCAGAACAGCGUUUGCUUAUAUCAAUCGUCAGGGCGGAGUGCGGUCUCAGAGCAUGCACCAGGUAGCAAAGAAAAUAUAGUCGGUUGUGUUCACUGUCGCCCAUCACAUUCAGGGCAGUUGGAACUUGGAAACCGACCUUCUUUCAAGGGGGGAACCUCAGGAUGCAGACUUUUUACUCUUCAUUUAUUUCAGACGUGGAUGUUUCUGUGCGCAUCAUGAGUCACAUUUUUAUGUUUCGCUUUAAUUUAAUCCAGUCAUGCUCAACUGCAAAGCUUUUAUUGUCAACUUUUAUUUUGAAGGAGCCAGUAAACCUGCAGCCCCAGUUGAUAGGGAGCCAGAGCUUCGUGCCAACAGGAGGUCUGUUCUGCUGAGACGAAGAUGGGCGGCUGGAGACAUGCUGAGAAAGGUGCCAGCGGGCCGAGAAGAUGCAGCAGAAAAGGGAUCAGGACGCAGGAAGAUCUUCAGCUGCCUAUUCUUCAUCAACAGCAUUAUCAUGAGGAAUGAUGUAAAUGUGAGAGAUGUAAAUAUUUGAUCCAGUGGGAUCUUUUUUUAGAA